AUUAAACUAUUAUUAUUAAACUUUUUUAUCGCCGUAAUUAUUAGAUCCCUCCUAAUUUUACUAUCAACACUAUUUUCAAAGAAAACAAUUUUAGACCGAGAGAAAGUAUCCCCAUUUGAAUGUGGAUUUGAUCCUAAAAACACCUCUCGGAUCCCAUUUUCAAUUCGGUUUUUUUUAAUUGCUAUUGUAUUUUUAAUUUUUGAUAUCGAAAUUUCAAUUUUAUUACCUUUAGGAUUAAUUACAAAUUCUAUUCCUCCUAUCCUCUGAAUAACAGCAGGUGGAUUAUUUUUGCUGUUAGUAACAUUAGGAUUGUACUAUGAAUGAAAAGAAAAUACUUUGGAGUGGAUUACUU
rnacentral:misc_RNA from 1 species